GGGUUGUGAGGUUAAGCGACUAAGCGUACACGGUGGAUGCCCUGGCAGUCAGAGGCGAUGAAGGGCGUGCUAAUCUGCGAUAAGCGCCGGUAAGGUGAUAUGAACCGUUAUAACCGGCGAUACCCGAAUGGGGAAACCCAGUGUGAUUCGUCACACUAUCAUUAACUGAAUCCAUAGGUUAAUGAGGCGAACCGGGGGAACUGAAACAUCUAAGUACCCCGAGGAAAAGAAAUCAACCGAGAUUCCCCCAGUAGCGGCGAGCGAACGGGGAGGAGCCCAGAGCCUGAAUCAGCAUGUGUGUUAGUGGAAGCGUCUGGAAAGGCGCGCGAUACAGGGUGACAGCCCCGUACACAAAAGCGCAUGUGCUGUGAGCUCGAUGAGUAGGGCGGGACACGUGGUAUCCUGUCUGAAUAUGGGGGGACCAUCCUCCAAGGCUAAAUACUCCUGACUGACCGAUAGUGAACCAGUACCGUGAGGGAAAGGCGAAAAGAACCCCGGCGAGGGGAGUGAAAAAGAACCUGAAACCGUGUACGUACAAGCAGUGGGAGCACAGGUUUACCUGUGUGACUGCGUACCUUUUGUAUAAUGGGUCAGCGACUUAUAUUCUGUAGCAAGGUUAACCGAAUAGGGGAGCCGGAGGGAAACCGAGUCUUAAUUGGGCGUUAAGUUGCAGGGUAUAGACCCGAAACCCGGUGAUCUAGCCAUGGGCAGGUUGAAGGUUGGGUAACACUAACUGGAGGACCGAACCGACUAAUGUUGAAAAAUUAGCGGAUGACCUGUGGCUGGGGGUGAAAGGCCAAUCAAACCGGGAGAUAGCUGGUUCUCCCCGAAAGCUAUUUAGGUAGCGCCUCGUGAAUUCAUCUCCGGGGGUAGAGCACUGUUUCGGCUAGGGGGCCAUCCCGGCUUACCAACCCGAUGCAAACUGCGAAUACCGGAGAAUGUUAUCACGGGAGACACACGGCGGGUGCUAACGUCCGUCGUGAAGAGGGAAACAACCCAGACCGCCAGCUAAGGUCCCAAAGUCAUGGUUAAGUGGGAAACGAUGUGGGAAGGCCCAGACAGCCAGGAUGUUGGCUUAGAAGCAGCCAUCAUUUAAAGAAAGCGUAAUAGCUCACUGGUCGAGUCGGCCUGCGCGGAAGAUGUAACGGGGCUAAACCAUGCACCGAAGCUGCGGCAGCGAACGUAUCACUUAAAGCGAUUCAGCGGGUUACGAUUGACGGAGCGAAGCGACGUCAAAGCGUAUACAAAGUCGAGUCGGUUUAAGGAUACGUUCGUUGGGUAGGGGAGCGUUCUGUAAGCCUGUGAAGGUGGCCUGUGAGGGUUGCUGGAGGUAUCAGAAGUGCGAAUGCUGACAUAAGUAACGAUAAAGCGGGUGAAAAGCCCGCUCGCCGGAAGACCAAGGGUUCCUGUCCAACGUUAAUCGGGGCAGGGUGAGUCGACCCCUAAGGCGAGGCCGAAAGGCGUAGUCGAUGGGAAACGGGUUAAUAUUCCCGUACUUGGUGUUACUGCGAAGGGGGGACGGAGAAGGCUAUGUUGGCCGGGCGACGGUUGUCCCGGUUUAAGCGUGUAGGCUGGUUUUCCAGGCAAAUCCGGAAAAUCAAGGCUGAGGCGUGACGACGAGGCACUACGGUGCUGAAGCAACAAAUGCCCUGCUUCCAGGAAAAGCCUCUAAGCAUCAGGUAACAUCAAAUCGUACCUCAAACCGACACAGGUGGUCAGGUAGAGAAUACCAAGGCGCUUGAGAGAACUCGGGUGAAGGAACUAGGCAAAAUGGUGCCGUAACUUCGGGAGAAGGCACGCUGACAUGUAGGUGAAGUGAUUUACUCAUGGAGCUGAAGUCAGUCGAAGAUACCAGCUGGCUGCAACUGUUUAUUAAAAACACAGCACUGUGCAAACACGAAAGUGGACGUAUACGGUGUGACGCCUGCCCGGUGCCGGAAGGUUAAUUGAUGGGGUCAGCGCAAGCGAAGCUCCUGAUCGAAGCCCCGGUAAACGGCGGCCGUAACUAUAACGGUCCUAAGGUAGCGAAAUUCCUUGUCGGGUAAGUUCCGACCUGCACGAAUGGCGUAAUGAUGGCCAGGCUGUCUCCACCCGAGACUCAGUGAAAUUGAACUCGCUGUGAAGAUGCAGUGUACCCGCGGCAAGACGGAAAGACCCCGUGAACCUUUACUAUAGCUUGACACUGAACAUUGAGCCUUGAUGUGUAGGAUAGGUGGGAGGCUUUGAAGUGUGGACGCCAGUCUGCAUGGAGCCGACCUUGAAAUACCACCCUUUAAUGUUUGAUGUUCUAACGUGGACCCGUGAUCCGGGUUGCGGACAGUGUCUGGUGGGUAGUUUGACUGGGGCGGUCUCCUCCUAAAGAGUAACGGAGGAGCACGAAGGUUGGCUAAUCCUGGUCGGACAUCAGGAGGUUAGUGCAAUGGCAUAAGCCAGCUUGACUGCGAGCGUGACGGCGCGAGCAGGUGCGAAAGCAGGUCAUAGUGAUCCGGUGGUUCUGAAUGGAAGGGCCAUCGCUCAACGGAUAAAAGGUACUCCGGGGAUAACAGGCUGAUACCGCCCAAGAGUUCAUAUCGACGGCGGUGUUUGGCACCUCGAUGUCGGCUCAUCACAUCCUGGGGCUGAAGUAGGUCCCAAGGGUAUGGCUGUUCGCCAUUUAAAGUGGUACGCGAGCUGGGUUUAGAACGUCGUGAGACAGUUCGGUCCCUAUCUGCCGUGGGCGCUGGAGAACUGAGGGGGGCUGCUCCUAGUACGAGAGGACCGGAGUGGACGCAUCACUGGUGUUCGGGUUGUCAUGCCAAUGGCACUGCCCGGUAGCUAAAUGCGGAAGAGAUAAGUGCUGAAAGCAUCUAAGCACGAAACUUGCCCCGAGAUGAGUUCUCCCUGAGACUUAGAGUCUCCUGAAGGAACGUUGAAGACGACGACGUUGAUAGGCCGGGUGUGUAAGCGCAGCGAUGCGUUGAGCUAACCGGUACUAAUGAACCGUGAGGCUUAACCUUACAACGCCGAAG
rnacentral:rRNA from 1 species